GUGCUCUAUCAUUUUUGCAGUUCAGUGGAUCGUAGUGUAAAAUACAAAUGUGUAAGCAUUUUGUUGUCGUUUUAUUAACAUCUUGAAAGCUGACUUUGACAAUUCCGCUACUGUCUUCAGAUGACAAAAUACCAAAUGUAAAAAGUAGAUGAAGCCUAUACUAGGGGAGACCGGGGCUAGUUGCAUACAGGGGUAGGUUGAUACACUGUCAAUAUCUUCAUCAUAUAGAAAUAGUUGGCGCCGAGGUUAACUUGAGACGUUUAGGCGUCAGUAUGAGCCGUAUCCUCGUUGAGUGCAACACAAGUUGAUCACCCGGCUGCGAAACUUCAAGCAAAAAUACUGUCUUUGGAUACCCUGAGUUUAUUAAACUUGGUUAGGACCUACAAAAGAAAGACAGAUAGAACCGUUAUGUGCAACACAGCAAUUUUGGAAUUGGCAGGCAAGCUUGUCAUUUGUCAUAAAGAGAGUUUACGAAAAGUUUCUAACGAUUACAAGAUUAAUUUUAUGACCUUACAUCGAUAUUGCAAAAGGAAGGAAGGUACUAGGGCUAGUCCUAUUUCAGCGGGAUACAAACAGCCAAGAUUACUAUUUAGUCCUAAUCGUGAGAAGCUACUGGUUGAGUACAUAUUAAAGGCUUAAAAAAUUCGCUAUGGGUUGACACCUAAAGAAGUACGGGCAUUUGCAUAUGAAUUUCCGGUUAGUAACAUAAUCAAAGUACCAACAAAUUGGAGUAGAACAGAAAUGGCUGGGCCAGACUGAUUUUCCAAUUUCAUGAAAAGGAACCCUACUCUCUCACUGAGAACACCAGAGGCAACAAGUCUUAGCAGAGCCACGAGCUUCAAUAGACACAAUGUUGGACUCUUUUUCAAUAAUCUUGGUGAAGUUUUGGAAAGACAUAAAUUCCAGUGUUAUGUUAUCUGUAAUAUAGAUGAGACAGGCAUAACCACAGUGCAGAAACCAACUCGCAUUGUUGCUGGUAAAGGAGCCAAGCAAGUAGGAGCGAUGACAUUUGGUGAGAGAGGAGCUCUUGUGACACUAGCUACCGCGAUCAGUGCUAGUGAUAUCACAGUUCCGCCAAUGUUUGUGUUCACUCGAGUUAAUUUCAGGGAUAAUUUUAUCAGGGAUGGACCUCCUUGAUGCAUUGGAGCAACACACCAAUCUGGGUGGAUGACUGAGGAAAACUUCAUAAUCUUUAUGAAACAUUUUGUGUCUGUGACAAAGUGCACAAAAGACAAAGCUGUUCCAAUCCUUCUUGCCAAUCAUGACUCCCGUGUAAGUUUAGAGCUGAUAGACUACUACAGGGACAAUGGAGUUGUCCUUGUCACUUUCCCACCUCACUGUUCACACAGGCUUCAACCUGUGGAUGUAAGCAUUUAUGGAUCCUUUAAAAAUACUUUAAUGCCUCAAGUGACAGCUGGCUGAAAAAUCAUCCUGGAAAGAAAAUGGCCAUAUAUGAUUUGCAAAGAAUUGUUGCCAGUGCAUUGCCCAAGGCCACAACUAUGGAAAACAUACAAAAAGGCUUCAAGGUGAAAGGUAUUCAUCCCUACAAUCGGGAUUUCUUUGGGGAUGAUGAAUUCCUUCCUGCUGAUGUUACUGAUCGUCCAGAAGAAAAUCCACAGGAUAGUCAUGUUGUAGAAGCCACAGAAAUGGAUAUUGAAACCAAAGCAAAUGAUGAAAGCCCAUUACAGCCUACUAAAGUUUGCAUAGGCUACACGAUACCUACCUGUGAACCUCCUCAAGACCAUCCAACUCCCCAACACAGAAAAAGCUUUGAGAAUAUGAUUCCAGACCCUGUUGGAAGCACAAGCAAGGAUGGUUUAGAUAGGCCUUACAUAUACCGAUCACCUUCUAUAAAGACAGAACAAAGACCUACAGGAGAAAUCAAAACCCCAGAGGAGCUGCGACCAUUUAAAAAGGCAAGCCCAAGAAAGACUCAAAGAUGCAACAAAAGAAAACGCUACACAGCAAUACUAACAGACACACAUGGGAAGAUGAAACUACAUUAAAAACUAUGAGGAUUCACAAGGAAAAAGGUUCAAGAGUAAAACCUGUAAAAGGAAUCUGAACAAGAAAAGGUUUCUGAAGUCUGGUGGAAAUAAGAACAGAAAGAACAUUGAAGAUUAUUGGUGUCUUGCAUGUGGUGGUGAAUGGUCAAAUUCAACCUCAGGGGAGCAAUGGGUGCAAUGCAUCAAAUGCAAAGAUUGGGCCCGUGAGAGUUGCACGAAUGAAAGUUCUCAUUAUGCAUGUGACCUGUGUAAAAUAAAGUGCUGACUGAUUUCUUUUGGUUUUCAAACAAAGUGAUUCUUUUUAUAUUUUGUAACAAUAUACCCCAUGGUCUGUAACAACUUGCCUUGCAUAUGGGGCAAGUUGUAUACAAAAAAGUUUUUCUACUAUUUUGUAUUAUAUUACAGGAAUUGAGAAGUAUAUACACUUCUUGUUACAUGAUUAUGAUAUCACAUAUGAUAAACUUUU